AUGGAGCAACGCAGGCUCUACAUAGGCGGUUUAUCAGAUGCUGUGUUAGAGAAAGAUAUAAAAAGAAGUUUAGUGAAUUCGGUACAGUGAAUGACGUUGAGAUACGAUGCAAAGAGAACUACGGAAAUCGACGAUACUUCGCGUAUAUCAACAUCCAGGCGGACAGGGGCAGCAUCGAUAAUUGUGUGCGCGCAUGCAACAAUCUCGAGUGGAAGGGUGGCACGCUCAAGGUACAGCCCGCGAAAGAGAGUUAUUUGCAAGCGGUCCGGAACGACAUACAGGAGAAGAAAAGACCUGUGGCUGUCGAGCCUCAAUCCACUGGGAAUGUUUCGACAAAAGCUCAAGGGACGAAGAGGAAGGAGCCGCUCAGUGAUGAUGGGAGUGAUGACGAGCCGCAGAGCUAUCUUGGAGUACCAGCGUGGAAGGGAUUCAAGUCGCGACCCGCAUCUUCCCCGUCGACUUCAAAACCCGACAUUGUCGAAGCGAAACAGAGCUCAAGUAGGAAGCUGGAAACCUCCGGGACCGGUGUCCGCCGUCGAUUGUAUAUUGGAGGUCUCCCAGAGAGCGCAUUGGAUGGAGACAUCAAGACGAAAUUCGCAGAGUUUGGUCGCGUUGGGAGCGUUGAAAUCAAAUGCAAGGAGAAUUACGGUAACAAGAGGUUUUUCGCUUACGUGGAUCUCGAUACCACCGAGAAAAAACUCGAUCAAUGCAUUCGUGAGUGCGAUAAUCAAACAUGGCAGGGCGCGCGCUUGAAAGUGCAGAUCGCCAAGGAGAGCUUUUUACAGAAAGCUCAUAAAGAGAUAUCUGAGCGCAACUCGCUCGGGAACUCCGCUACGGUCAACGAGUCACGUGAGGAUCGGGUUGGAGGCGUGGGAACGAGACAACUCGAUAAAGGCGAACCAAUGGAUCUGGUCGACGAGCGCCAUUCCGAUCAGUCUCGACACAACAGGAGAGACAACUUCAGCGACAGAAAAACGUGGCGCGAUUCGAGAUAUGACGAUAACUAUCAGAGAACGAAUAAGCCUACCUUCGGGAAGUGGGAUCAUACGCAACCUAUGGGCGAUCCUCGCGAUACCAUGCGGGAACGUCACGACCGCCCCCAGAAGUGGGCUUCCGCGAGUCAUUCGAAGAGUGGGAGCUUCCCGGGACCGGAUGGGCGCGACAACACCUUUGAAUCCGAGAAAAACUGCCUUUUCGAUGAGAUUGACGCUGCCGAUAAACUCGGUCUUGAACAAGAUGAACUACUCUCGGGCGAUGAGCAGAAGGAAUCUAGAGAAGAGGACGUCAAUGAUCCUUUAUCCGAGAAGAAUCUCGAGGAUUUAUUCGAUCCAAAGUCCGGCAGCAAGGGAUUCACCCUUUCUUCUCUGUUCUCGGAUCAGCUCAAAGUCGAGGACAAUGUUUCGUCUUCGGGAGACCCCGAUAAUACGUACGGAAAACGAUCUCAGGAGCAAGUUGAACGAUUCGAGGAGGAAUAUUGGAAACGAGCGGAGAAAGUCGACCAGAGAAGCUGGCAAGAGAUGGUUCACAAACACGACAGACGCGUUCCCACCUCGGGACUCCCGAAAUCAUUCUUCAUCCUGCCGGGCGACAGGAGACUUGAAGAAGGUUCCCGAGUGUUCCGCACCGAUGAAGAUCCGGCUCAGUUCGUUGAGUGCUGGAGGGAGCAGGCCGAAGAGUUGACGCAGCGCCUGCUUCAACGCAAACGCAACACCAGAGUCCAAUAUCAAAUGGCACAAAGAGCGCUUGGCAAGUCCGAGCAGAAAGCCGGACAGAAGAGAAAAUUCCGGAAGCAGGCCCGACAAGAAGCUGUUUGAUUGCGUAUGGAAACCAAUCUCUACGGGAAGGCGUGUAUGAGAGAAUAAAUUGUUUUCUAAUU
rnacentral:sRNA from 1 species